rnacentral:rRNA from 1 species
CGUAACAAGGUAGCUGUAGGUGAACCUGCUGAUGGAUCACUAACGACCCAACACACACCUUGUGUUUCUAGUUCUAAGACCAGUGGGUGCUGUGCGGAACUCGAGACUCGACCGCUGCAACCAACACUGUUGGUUGUUCAGUUACAUUCUUAACGGCUUUCUUGGGUAUCUGUGGUUGGCGGAGCAGUUGUGUUCAACGACCGUGGCUGCAACGAUGCUGACCGGUAGAGUCGCUCUAUUGGCUUGAUUCUAGAAGUAAAGACCCGGUGGGGCGCCCAGCAAAACACACCCAUUAAAGCAUUUUUACUAACAAACAACUAACGAAAAGUUAUGUCGGUGGAUCACUUGGCUCGUAGAUCGAUGAAGAACGCAGUGAAUUGCGUUAACAAUCACGAAUUACAGAUAUUAUGAGUGACAUGUUUUCGAUUGCAUAUUGCACCGUUGGGCAUUUGUUCAUCGGUAUAUCCAACUCAGGGUGUGAUCCCAAACUCUAUAUAAUAGAUUACCCACUACAAAGACCCAGGGGUUUUGUGUUGGAGCAGGAAGAUUGUUCAUUUUGAGAUGUGACUGUACUAGGGCUUCUUUUGAGCGAAAGAGGCUUUCUGUUUUCUGUUUUUUGCGGUUUUGAAUAAAUACUAUCUGGAACCCCCACUGACAGAAAAAAGAGGCUGCCCUUCAGUUAUCGACAUCCUGGUAUAAUCCACCUGAGUUGAGUAUGACUACCUGCUGAACUUAAGCAUAUCAGUAAGCAGAGGAAAAGAAACCAACAGGGAUUCCCUUAGUAACGGCGAGUGAAA